rnacentral:rRNA from 1 species
AAUAUUGGACAAUGGGGGCAACCCUGAUCCAGCCAUGCCGCGUGUGUGAAGAAGGUCUUCGGCUUGUAAAGCACUUUAAGUUGGGCGGACGUGCUUUCGUUUAAUACCUUGAAGUUUUGACGUUACCAUCAGAAUAACCACCGGCUAACUCUGUGCCAGCAGCCGCGGUAAUACAGAGGGUGCAAGCGUUAAUCGGAAUUACUGGGCGUAAAGCGAGCGUAGGUGGUUCAGUAAGAUGGGUGUGAAAUCCCCGGGCUUAACCUGGGAACUGCUUUCAUAACUGCUGAGCUAGAGUACGGUAGAGGGUAGUGGAAUUUCCUGUGUAGCGGUGAAAUGCGUAGAUAUAGGAAGGAACACCAGUGGCGAAGGCGACUACCUGGACUGAUACUGACACUGAGGUGCGAAAGCGUGGGGAGCAAAC